rnacentral:rRNA from 1 species
AAGAACAUUUCGCUAUAGGCGCAGAAAGCACGACAAGGUAAUCCGAGUGUUUGUGAAAAGAGAACCUUUUGUCGGCCUAGAAACACCGAGGAAUAAGGGGGGGGCAAGUUCUGGUGUCAGCCGCCGCGGUAAAACCAGCACCUCAAGUGGUCAGGAUGAUUAUUGGGCCUAAAGCAUCCGUAGCCGGCGCUGUAAGUUUUCGGUUAAAUCUGUACGCUCAACGUACAGGCUGCCGGGAAUACUGCAGCGCUGGGGAGGGGGAGAGGUAGACGGUACUCGGUAGGAAGGGGUAAAAUCCUUCGAUCUAUUGAUGACCACCUGUGGCGAAGGCGGUCUACCAGAACACGUCCGACGGUGAGGGAUGAAAGCUGGGGGAGCAAACCGGAUUAGAUACCCGGGUAGUCCCAGCUGUAAACAUUGUUCGCUAGGUGUCAGGGACGGGGCGACCGUUUCUGGUGCCGUAGGGAAGCCGUGAAGCGAACCACCUGGAAAGUACGGCCGCAAGGUUGAAACUUAAAGGAAUUGGGGGGGGAAAGGGCGAUUUCCCGGCCGCUAAUUUCAUUUCGCCCUAUAGUGAGUCGUAUUACAAUUCACUGGCCGUGUUUUUACAAAAUUGGGGCAAGGGAAAAUCCUUUUCCCCCCCGAAAAUUCCAUUCACCAAGGGAAUUUCUAUCUAUUAAAAUUCCUCUUUUCAAAUCCAAAA